AACGAACGCUGGCGGCAGGCCUAAUACAUGCAAGUCGAACGCCCCGCAAGGGGAGUGGCGCACGGGUGAGUAACGCGUGGGGAUGUGCCCUUGGGUACGGAACAACAUCGGGAAACUGGUGCUAAUACUGUAUAAUGACUCCGGUCCAAAGAUUUAUCGCCCAAGGAUCAACCCGCGUUGGAUUAGCUAGUUGGUGAGGUAACGGCUCACCAAGGCUACGAUCCAUAGCUGGUCUUAGAGGAUGAUCAGCCACACUGGAACUGAGACACGGUCCAGACUCCUACGGGAGGCAGCAGUAAGGAAUAUUGGACAAUGGGGGAAACCCUGAUCCAGCCAUGCCGCGUGAAUGAAGAAGGCCUUAGGGUUGUAAAGUUCUUUUAGAUGUGAAGAUAAUGACGGUAGCAUCAGAAAAAGCUCCGGCUAACUCCGUGCCAGCAGCCGCCGUAA
rnacentral:rRNA from 1 species